CAGAAAGAAGCAAAAGAGAGAUGCUGGCCAAAAGCCUGGACUAGUGGAUGCAGCUAAUGCCACUAGCUCAAGAAAUCACAAUCAUGUACAGAAGACCAAGAGCGAAAAGCUCAGACAGACAUGAAUGAGGGUCUCUGAUGACACCUCGCACUCCCACAAUCACUGUCAGGUGUAUUAAUGGAAAUGCAGUGAAACACCUCUGGAGUUUGCAGGAUGAUGCCAGUAAAUGGGAAGGUCUCCGCAGAAUCUCAUUAUUUCAGGGCUCAGAAAACUGACGUCCUUCAGUGGUUC